AAUGAACGCUGGCGGCGUGCUUAACACAUGCAAGUCGUACGAGAACUCUUCUGCUUGCAGAAGAUAGUAAAGUGGCGCACGGGUGAGUAACGCGUGGGCAAUCUACCUCCGAAUUGGGGAUAACCCCGCGAAAGCGGGGCUAAUACCGGAUAAUAUCUUUUAUAUUUCGGCAUUAAAGAUCAAAGGUGGUCUCUACAUGUAAGCUACUGUUUGGAGAUGAGCCCGCGUGCCAUUAGCUUGUUGGUAGGGUAAUGGCCUACCAAGGCUACGAUGGCUAGCUGGUCUGAGAGGAUGAUCAGCCACACUGGAACUGACACACGGUCCAGACUCCUACGGGAGGCAGCAGUGAGGAAUUUUGCGCAAUGGGGGAAACCCUGACGCAGCAACGCCGCGUGAGUGAUGAAGGCUUUCGGGUCGUAAAGCUCUGUCAAGUGGGAAGAACAUGCUCGAUGUUAAUACCAUCGUGCACUGACGGUACCACUGAGGAAGCACCGGCUAAC
rnacentral:rRNA from 1 species